GUCCACGCCGUAAACGAUGGAUACUAGCUGUUGGGAGCGAUCUCAGUGGCUAAGCGAAAGUGAUAAGUAUCCCACCUGGGGAGUACGUUCGCAAGAAUGAAACUCAAAGGAAUUGACGGGGGCCCGCACAAGCGGUGGAGCAUGUGGUUUAAUUCGAUGAUACGCGAGGAACCUUACCAAGGCUUAAAUGUAGUUUGACCGAUUUGGAAACAGAUCUUUCGCAAGACAAAUUACAAGGUGCUGCAUGGUUGUCGU
rnacentral:rRNA from 1 species